CCAUUUGGAGCCGCAUUUUCGGGAGGAUUCUCCCACCCACCGGGCCAAUGAGAGAAAACCCGGCGUUUUCUGUGCCUGGAGCAGCUCAGGGCUCUUCCCUCGGCAUCCCCGAUCCCAAUGAGAGAAAACCCGGCGUUUUCUGUGCCUGGAGCAGCUCAGGGCUCUUCCCUCGGCAUCCCCGAUCCCAAUGAGAGAAAACCCGGCGUUUUCUGUGCCUGGAGCAGCUCAGGGCUCUUCCCUCGGCAUCCCCGAUCCCAAUGAGAGAAAACCCGGCGUUUUCUGUGCCUGGAGCAGCUCAGGGCUCUUCCCUCGGCAUCCCCGAUCCCAAUGAGAGAAAACCCGGCGUUUUCUGUGCCUGGAGCAGCUCAGGGCUCUUCCCUCGGCAUCCCCGAUCCCAAUGAGAGAAAACCCGGCGUUUUCUGUGCCUGGAGCAGCUCAGGGCUCUUCCCUCGGCAUCCCCGAUCCCAAUGAGAGAAAACCCGGCGUUUUCUGUGCCUGGAGCAGCUCAGGGCUCUUCCCUCGGCAUCCCCGAUCCCAAUGAGAGAAAACCCGGCGUUUUCUGUGCCUGGAGCAGCUCAGGGCUCUUCCCUCGGCAUCCCCGAUCCCAAUAGUAAAAACCCGGCGUUUUCCGUGCCUGGAGCAGCCCCUAGACCUGGAACACCUGGCAGUGACCCCGGGCAGGGGCCGGGGGGCUGCAGGGGGACCCCAGCUCCUUCUCCUCCGCCUCCCACAGGUUGUCGUAGCUGAAGUCGCUCUGGAAGCUCUGGAGCUCGGCGUAGUCGUGGGAGGAGCCGGAGUCCCGGCAGGGACAGGGGGCGUCUGCCAGCUCACAGGGGACACCUGCGGGGACACCGGGGGACAAAGGGGUCAGGGGACAGCCCGGGGGGUGGGGGGAGAGGAGGAGAGUCACGGAGCAGGGGGAGAGAGGCACGAGUUCCUCGGGGUGAAAGGGGAAGGCGGGACAGGUGA
rnacentral:lncRNA from 12 species